GACGAACGCUGGCGGCGUGCUUAACACAUGCAAGUCGAACGGAAAGGCCCUGCUUUUGUGGGGUGCUCGAGUGGCGAACGGGUGAGUAACACGUGAGUAACCUGCCCUUUACUUUGGGAUAACUUCAGGGAACUGGGGCUAAUACCGGAUAGGAGCUCCUGCUGCAUGGUGGGGGUUGGAAAGUUUCGUCGGUUGGGGAUGGACUCGCGGCUUAUCAGCUUGUUGGUGGGGUAGUGGCUUACCAAGGCUUUGACGGGUAGCCGGCCUGAGAGGGUGACCGGCCACAUUGGGACUGAGAUACGGCCCAGACUACUACGGGAGGCAGCAGUGGGGAAUAUUGCACAAUGGGCGGAAGCCUGAUGCAGCAACGCCGCGUGCGGGAUGACGGCCUUCGGGUUGUAAACCGCUUUCGCCUGUGACGAAGCGUGAGUGACGGUAAUGGGUAAAGAAGCACCGGCUAACUACGUG
rnacentral:rRNA from 1 species